rnacentral:rRNA from 1 species
UCCAGACUCCUACGGGAGGCAGCAGUGGGGGAUAUUGCACAAUGGGGGAAACCCUGAUGCAGCGACGCCGCGUGUGGGAAGACGGUCUUCUGGAUUGUAAACCACUGUCCCCAGGGACGAAAAUGACGGUACCUGGGGAGGAAGCUCCGGCUAACUACGUGCCAGCAGCCGCGGUAAUACGUAGGGGGCAAGCGUUAUCCGGAUUUACUGGGUGUAAAGGGAGCGUAGACGGCGAUGCAAGUCUGAAGUGAAAGGCGGGGGCCCAACCCCCGGACUGCUUUGGAAACUGUAUAGCUGGAGUGCAGGAGAGGUAAGUGGAAUUCCUAGUGUAGCGGUGAAAUGCGUAGAUAUUAGGAGGAACACCAGUGGCGAAGGCGGCUUACUGGACUGUAACUGACGUUGAGGCUCGAAAGCGUGGGGAGCAAACAGGAUUAGAUACCCCAGUA